ensembl:lncRNA
CACCCUAUGGUACUCCCAAUGACAGCCCACCCCAGACAACACCCUAUGGUACUCCCAAUGACAGCCCACCCCAGACAACACCCUAUGGAACUCCCAAUGACAGCCCACCCCAGACAACACCCUAUGGUACUCCCAAUGACAGCCCACCCCAGACAACACCCUAGGUACUCCCAAUGACAGCCCACCACAGUGCACCACCCUCUGGUACUCCCAAUGACAGCCCACCCCAGACAACACCCUAUGGUACUCCCAAUGACAGCCCACCCCAGACAACACCCUAUGGUACUCCCAAUGACAGCCCACCCCAGACAACACCCUAUGGUACUCCCAAGGACAGCCCACCCCAGACAACACCCUAUGGUACUCCCAAUGACAGCCCACCCCAGACAACACCCUAUGGUACUCCCAAUGACAGCCCACCCCAGACAACACAGUACAACACCCUAUGGUACUCCCAAUGACAGCCCACCCCAGACAACACCCUAUGGAACUCCCAAUGACAGCCCACCCCAGACAACACCCUAUGGUACUCCCAAUGACAGCCCACCCCAGACAACACCCUAUGGUACUCCCAAUGACAGCCCACCCCAGACAACACCAUAUGGUACUCCCAAUGACAGCCCACCCCAGACAACACAGUGCACCACCCUAUGGUACUCCCAAUGACAGCCCACCCCAGACAACACAGUGCACCACCCUAUGGUACUCCCAAUGACAGCCCACCCCAGACAACACAGUGCACCACCCUAUGGUACUCCCAAUGACAGCCCACCCCAGACAACACUGUGCACCACCCUAUGGUACUCCCAAUGACAGCCCACCCCAGACAACACAGUGUACCACCCUAUGGUACUCCCAAUGACAGCCCACCCCAGACAACACCCUAUGGUACUCCCAAUGACAGCCCACCCCAGACAACACCCUAUGGUACUCCCAAUGACAGCCCACCCCAGACAACACAGUGCACCACCCUAUGGUACUCCCAAUGACAGCCCAUCCCAGACAACACCCUAUGGUACUCCCAAUGACAGCCCAGCCCAGACAACACCCUAUGGUACUCCCAAUGACAGCCCACCCCAGACAACACCCUACCCUAUGGUACUCCCAAUGACAGCCCACCCCAGACAACACCCUAUGGUACUCCCAAUGACAGCCCACCCCAGACAACACCCUAUGGUACU